rnacentral:rRNA from 2 species
GCUUAACACAUGCAAGUCGAGGGACCGGCGGAUGGGUGAGUAACGCGUAUGCAAUCUACCUUUUACCCGGGGAUAGCCCAUGGAAACGUGGAUUAAUACCCGAUGCAUAAAGUCGGUAAGAGAUGAGCAUGCGUUCCAUUAGGAAGUUGGUAAGGUAACGGCUUACCAAUCCGAUGAUGGAUGGGGGUUCUGAGAGGAAGGUCCCCCACACUGGAAUUGAGAUACGGUCCAGACUCCUACGGGAGGCAGCAGUGAGGAAUAUUGGUCAAUGGUCGUAAGACUGAACCAGCCAAGUCGCGUGAAGGAAACUGCCUAUGGGUUUUCAACUUCUUUUGUCAGGGAAGAUGCCGGUACCUGACGAAUAAGGAUCGGCUAACGCCGUGCCAGCAGCCGCGGUAAUACGGAGGAUCCGAGCGUUAUCCGGAUUUAUUGGGUUUAAAGGGUGCUUAGGCGGCAUAUUAAGUUAGUGGUCAAAUGGUCCGGCUCAACCGGAUUUCGCCAUUAAAACUGAUGUGCUAGAGAUUAAACGAGGUAGGCGGAAUAAGUUAAGUAGCGGUGAAAUGCAUAGAUAUAACUUAGAACUCCGAUAGCGAAGGCAGCUUACCAGGCUAUCUGACGCUGAAUCACGAGAGCGUGGGUAUCGAACAGGAUUAGAUACCCUGGUAGUCCACGCCGUAAACGAUGCUCACCGGCUCUAUGCGUGUAUGGGGCUAAUAGAAAUAAUUAAGUGAGCCACCUGGGGAGUACGUCGGCAACGAUGAAACUCAAAGGAAUUGACGGGGGCCCGCACAAGCGGAGGAACAUGUGGUUUAAUUCGAUGAUACGCGAGGAACCUUACCCGGGUUUAAAUGUACAAGGUGCUGCAUGGUUGUCGUCAGCUCGUGCCGUGAGGUGUCGGGUUAAGUCCCAUAACGAGCGCAACCCUUAUGAUUAGUUGCUAACGGCCGAGCACUCUAUUCACACUGCCACCGUAAGGUGGAGGAAGGAGGGGAUGAUGUCAAAUCAGCACGGCCCUUAUAUCCGGGGCUACACACGUGUUACAAUGGUCGGCAGAGGGUUGCAUUUACGAGAGUAACAGCUAAUCCCUUCGGUCACAGUUCGGAUGGAGUCUGCGACUCGACUCCAGAAGUUGGAUUCGCUAGUAAUCGCACAUCAGCCAUGGUGCGGUGAAUACGUUCCCGGGCCUUGUACACACCGCCCGUCAAGCCAUGGGAGCUGAGGGUGCCUGAAGUUCGUAGCGACCUAGGGCAAACUUGGUAACUGGGGC